UACGUAGGUGGCAAGCGUUAUCCGGAAUUAUUGGGCGUAAAGCGCGCGCAGGCGGUUUCUUAAGUCUGAUGUGAAAGCCCACGGCUCAACCGUGGAGGGUCAUUGGAAACUGGGGAACUUGAGUGCAGAAGAGAAAAGCGGAAUUCCACGUGUAGCGGUGAAAUGCGUAGAGAUGUGGAGGAACACCAGUGGCGAAGGCGGCUAUCUGGACGGUUUCUGACGCUAAGACGCGAAAGCGUGGGGAGCAAACAGG
rnacentral:rRNA from 1 species